AAGUUUCAGAUCGCCCACUACGGGAGGACUCCGGCCAAGAUCGAGGAGUUGGCGAGUUCUAUUGAGUGUCCCGGCAUUGCCAUGAGCGCCUCCCAAGAAGAGAAGAAGUGCAGCUUCAUAACACCGAGUUCAGGUACCAAAAGAGGGCUUUUACAAAUUACAAUAAACUCAAAGAAAAAUUAGGGCAAAUUACUAAUUGUUCCAUCCUCUUACUGAUGUAUACACAGAUCCUAUGUAUGUUGUUUAUCAUGAUGAGGAAUGGGGAGUUCCAGUUCAUGAUGACAGGAUGUUGUUUGAGUUGCUUGUUCUAACAGGAGCUCAAGUGGGGAUGGACUGGACUACUAUACUGAAGAAGAGGAAUGAAUUCAGGGUGGCAUUUGU